UCACACGGUGAUGCAUCCCGAGCACCCUGCUGAGGAGGGUUUGACGGAGUUUAGUUCACCUAAAGGAGUUCUGCUUCUGAGAGACACCAAAAUGGAAGGGAGGUCAACACUUGGUGCACAAAGGAUAUUCAGGUUUUAAUGAAAUCAUCCAGGAAUUGUUUAUUCAAUUCAACACUUCUUUAUGAUUUUUAAUCAAUUAUUUUCAUCAUGACAUCAAUUAAACUGACUAAAAUAAAUAUUUUCUGCUGGGUCUUAAUGAGUUAAUUUCUCCACCUGCAGUAUUUCUUCCAAAGUCAAGCACCAAGUUUAUUUUUACAGCUGAAUUCCUAAAUAGCAGGUCAGUGAGGGGAGAGGAAGGUUUGCUGCGACUGGGACUUUGUGUUCUGCUUUUCAGGAACGAUUAAUUUCUUUGAGAAAUAUUCUGGUCAUUGAGUGUAGUGGCAGUUUGAGCUUUUGGUGAAUUACCUUCACUAUUUUUGAUUGCAUUUAGAAAAGAAGAAACAAGCUACUAAGAAAAAAUGCUGGCUUUAGAACAGUGGGAAAGGAGCCAUAAUUUUUCCAAGCUGCCUUAAAAGGGCUUAAAUUCUUCUAGUUACUG